rnacentral:rRNA from 1 species
GAUGAACGCUGGCGGCGUGCCUAACACAUGCAAGUCGAGCGAUUCUCUUCGGAGAAGAGCGGCGGACGGGUGAGUAACGCGUGGGUAACCUGCCCUGUACACACGGAUAACAUACCGAAAGGUAUGCUAAUACGAGAUAAUAUGCUUUUAUCGCAUGGUAGAAGUAUCAAAGCUUUUGCGGUACAGGAUGGACCCGCGUCUGAUUAGCUAGUUGGUAAGGUAACGGCUUACCAAGGCGACGAUCAGUAGCCGACCUGAGAGGGUGAUCGGCCACAUUGGAACUGAGACACGGUCCAAACUCCUACGGGAGGCAGCAGUGGGGAAUAUUGCACAAUGGCGAAAGCCUGAUGCAGCAACGCCGCGUGAGCGAUGAAGGCCUUCGGUCGUAAAGCUCUGUCCUCAAGGAAGAUAAUGACGGUACUUGUAGGAGGAAGCCCGGCGUAACUACGUAGCCAGCAGCCGCGGUAACUGAGUAGUACGA